GAUGAACGCUGGCGGCGUGCCUAAUACAUGCAAGUCGAGCGAACAGAUAAGGAGCUUGCUCCUUUGGCGUUAGCGGCGGACGGGUGAGUAACACGUGGGUAACCUACCUAUAAGACUGGAAUAACUCCGGGAAACCGGGGCUAAUGCCGGAUAACAUUUAGAACCGCAUGGUUCUAAAGUGAAAGAUGGUUUUGCUAUCACUUAUAGAUGGACCCGCGCCGUAUUAGCUAGUUGGUAAGGUAACGGCUUACCAAGGCAACGAUACGUAGCCGACCUGAGAGGGUGAUCGGCCACACUGGAACUGAGACACGGUCCAGACUCCUACGGGAGGCAGCAGUAGGGAAUCUUCCGAAAUGGGCGAAAGCCUGACGGAGAAACGCCGCGUGAGUGAUGAAGGUCUUCGGAUCGUAAAACUCUGUUAUUAGGGAAGAACAAAUGUGUAAGUAACUGUGCACGUCGUGACGGUACCUAAUCAGAAAGCCACGGCUAACUACGUG
rnacentral:rRNA from 1 species